rnacentral:rRNA from 1 species
AUUGAACGCUGGCGGAAUGCUUUACACAUGCAAGUCGAGCGGCAGCGCGGCCUUCGGGCUGGCGGCGAGCGGCGAACGGGUGAGUAAUGCAUCGGAACAUGCCCAGUCGUGGGGGAUAACACUUCGAAAGAAGUGCUAAUACCGCAUACGUCCUGAGGGGGAAAGCGGGGGGUCGCAAGACCUCGCGCGAUUGGAGUGGCCGAUGUCAGAUUAGCUAGUUGGUGGGGUAAAGGCCUACCAAGGCGACGAUCUGUAGCUGGUCUGAGAGGAUGAUCAGCCACACUGGGACUGAGACACGGACCAGACUCCUACGGGAGGCAGCAGUGGGGAAUUUUGGACAAUGGGGGCAACCCUGAUCCAGCCAUUCCGCGUGAGUGAAGAAGGCCUUCGGGUUGUAAAGCUCUUUCGGCAGGAACGAAACGGUGGGCUCUAACAUAGUCCGCUAAUGACGGUACCUGAAGAAGAAGCACCGGCUAACUACGUG